AAAGAUACCUGGCAGGGGAGAUACGAUGGUCACGAAAGUGGUUUUACCAGGGCAAGGCUUAUCCAUUGCACUCCGGAUGUGCUGACCCCUGUGAUUUCCCCAAAUGCAGGAAACUCACCUGCCUAAUUUGUGGUAGUGGGGGACUGCAUUCGCGCUCUCCCCUG